rnacentral:lncRNA from 1 species
GGCCAGUGGACAGUUGGUUUUCAGGGAAGAAAUACAAAUGGCCAAUGAAUAUUUGAGGAGGCGGUCCACAUCCUUAGCCUUCUGGGAAAUGCCAAUGGCAGCUUCUCUGAGGUCCCAUCCCACCCAGACUUGCUGCCAUUGAGACGGGAAAUGACAACAAAUGCUGGUGAGGAUAUGGGAAAGGGGAUCUUUAUUCACUGGUGACAGGAAUGCCAGUGGCCGCAGCUGGUAUGAAAGUUGGUGUGGGCAUCCUCAAAAAUGAAAGUGGAACUAUUGUAUGAUUCAGCGACACCACCCCUGAGUAUGUGUCUUUAGGAUGCUUGGUCACUGUAGGAGAGGCCUUGCACAUGCGUGUUUAUUACUGAACCAUUCAUCAUAGCCAAGAUAUGAAAUCCCUUGAGGCCUAUCAGCAGAUGAAGGGAUAAAGAAACUGCUCAUGCGUACAAUGGGGUUUUAUGCAGUCACAGAGAAGCAUGAAAUCACGGCAUUUGUAGGAAGAUGGAUGCAACUAGGACUCAUUAUGUUAAAUGAAGCCCUCUGACUGUUCAUUCAAAAUGGCAAGCUGGCUGACACAUUUUUUUGGCAAGGUGCCCUUCAUGGAUAAUUGUGGCUAUACUUCCAUGGCAGAUGAAACUGCUACUUCAUGUGAAAUUGUCUAGAUGACCACUUUAUCUGGAGCAGAUCUUGAAACAGCCAGGAUUUUCCUCCUAAAGUUCUGUUCCCUGGAAGGGAAGCCUUUGUUGGAGUCAAUACUUCCUGAUCUGAUGGGCGAUGGAGCAAGGCACUUUGCCUGGUUCUAACAGAGCACAGUCGAACACUCAGGUUCAUGAAAGUCAAGAGCAAUGACCAGUGGAAUCCUACCUGGGGCCCUGACGUUUCUGACAUUGAUGUAAAGUACUACAACAAGGCCAAUGGCAAGCUGACUGUGUCUGCAGAUUACACUGAUUUUUACAUAACAUAUCAAGACCUGAGGCUGGAGAAGAGACACAUGGAGAUCACCUGCCUUUCAACAAUGCCCUUAGCUCCUGUAUUUUUGGUCACGGCUUGGAGGCGUCUAAGUAAUGAAGAAGCCCUGGCAGUGGAAAGGGAUGUGCACUCCCAUCACCUAAGCAAAUACACUGAGCACCCAAUAGCUGUGCCGGUGGCUGAUUCCAUCCUGUUCUGUUUUCCGAGGACCUCAAACCUACAAAAUACACUUGGCUCAGUUAGGGAAGUCACAGCACAAAGGAACGAAUGCCUCCAAUUUUUAUAGAGUAGACACCUCCAACCGGAACAGAAUAUGGGCCAUGUGUGUGAUUGCUUCGAAAUGAGGGCUGGAGCUGCUGCAGAUCUAGUUGAUUGACAGAGUCCCAUGAUGGAGCCGAUUGUCUUUAUCUUCUAGAAGCAGGGGCAUCGUUGGGUCCAGGAAUCUGUUGCAGCCUACUCUGUGGGUGAAUGGCCAGGCAGUCUGAUCUGACCCUCGGACUUCAGGCCCAACCUCCUCAUGCAUGAUGGACCUGUCCAUGGUUCACAGCUCUUUACUUUGCUAC